rnacentral:rRNA from 1 species
GUGGAUUAGAUACCCUAGUAGUCCACGCCGUAAACGAUGGAUGCUAGCCGUUGGUAAGCAUGCUUAUCAGUGGCGCAGCUAACGCAUUAAGCAUCCCGCCUGGGGAGUACGGCCGCAAGGUUGAAACUCAAAGGAAUUGACGGGGGCCCGCACAAGCGGUGGAGCAUGUGGUUUAAUUCGACGCAACGCGCAGAACCUUACCAGGGUUUGACAUCCCGUGCCACGCUCAGAGAUGGGCGGUCCCCGCAAGGGGCGCGGAGACAGGUGCUGCACGGCCGUCGUCAGCU